rnacentral:rRNA from 1 species
AUGGUGUUCAGCGGCGCGUGGCUGGCGGCGGCGGCGCGGGUGCCGGCGGAGCUGUGCCAGGGGCCGCCGCGGCCGGGGCAGCGGCGGCGGCUGCGGGCCGACGAGGUGCUGCGCGCGCUGCUCACGCCGCCCGCGCGGGAGCUGGAGCGCCUGGCCGAGUGCCUCUACGUCUUCUUCUGCCUGCCGCUGCCGGAGCCGGACCAGUACUACGUGCCGGCGUCCGGGCGCGGCGGCUGGAUGGCGCGCCGGCCGCCCGGCGCCGUGCUGUACAGCUACCGGAGGUCCCUCUCGCUCUCCUCCGACGGCGGCUCGUCGUCGUCCACGUGGAUGGGCGGCUCCGACGAGGAGGGGCUGUACUACUCGGACGACUAG